UACGUAGGGUGCGAGCGUUGUCCGGAAUUACUGGGCGUAAAGGGUCUGUAGGUGGCCAACUAAGUCAGACGUGAAAUCCCUCAGCUUAACUGGGGAACUGCGUCUGAUACUGGAUGGCUUGAGUUCGGGAGAGGGAUGCGGAAUUCCAGGUGUAGCGGUGAAAUGCGUAGAUAUCAGGAGGAACACCAGCGGCGAAGGCGGCGCUCUGGGCCGGUACUGACACUGAGGAGCGAAAGCGUGGGUAGCAAAUAGG
rnacentral:rRNA from 1 species